UCCUUUUUUUAAAAAAAAAACCUUAUUGACACCGCUGCUUCAGAUGGAAUGGAAACGGAUAAGGGCGAAAAUACGCUUUCAGAAAGCUAUGCUCGGAUGCCAGAUACCUACAGUUCAAAAAGGAGACGAAGGAGAAGAAAGAAAAAUAAACAUCAUAUAGACGAUUUUCGUGUGAAAGGAAAAGGAGGAAACCAAUGAGGAAAUACAUAUACUUCUAUCCAAGAGAAGGAGGAACAGGGCACUGAUAACCAUCAGAGUCAGUGUUUCCAUCAAUUUCUCUACUAGGAUGCACACAUCUAGGCAAACUAAAUGAUGAUGUCUGAUCCUUCUGCAGAGGAUGUGUGUCUAA